UGUAACGCUCUGACACGCGGAUGCACGUGGUUACGUUCGAUUAGUCGAGUGUCGCACGAAACGGGUCGGAGAUCAUGUUUCAGAAGGGUCGACUUCUCGAGGCUCGAGACAAAGGCCAGAAUUGAACUGUCCAGGAUUAUCUUGAACAUAGAAGCAGCAACAAGUGUUCCAAGCAAUUUUUCAACGGGUUUCCCGGCCGAUCGAAAUUCCCGCGGAAACGUCGACGAACGCGCGGCUUAUCCGCGAACCCUCCUGCUUAACCGGAUAUUUUCGUCGAUGUUAGUCGAAUUCCGUCCGACCGCGUUCGAUUUCGCCUGUGGUCAAGGUUAUCAUCGCUGAAAUUUUUCAUAGCGAAUAUCAAGCAUUUCAAGCGAAGCAACGAAACCAUCCUACUUCCAGUGCUCUCGCAACACCGAAAUAUUUCGAUAACAUUUGACUUAUUUUGUAACCUAUUAAGCAACGAAUCGUCGAAAUCCGUUUAUUGGUUUAUCGCGGCGGUUCGAUUGCCGAUAAGCCUGUUAUGUGACUCUCGACCUCGGCGCAGCAAGGGCUGCAGCGAAGAACCAGAGACUCGCGGAUUCCAACGAGUAACGCGGUUCCUCUGUUUUCACCAUUUAGAAUAAUUCAUGCGUAUCUGCAAUCAUCCCCCUCCCCGUCUAUCGGAUGCGGCGCGCCGUUCCCCGGGUCUAUUAUGUGGAGCUGCGAUGAUGUUAAUCGCAGCUGCUAUUGAGAAGAAGCUUUUUUCGCAUCGAAUUCAAUGCGACACGAUCGUGCCCGGACAAUAGGAACCGUGUGUAUAUAUGUACUUACUAUUGACUCGGGCGAGCAAUAGAACGUUAAUUUCCUCGUUACUAACAGUCCUGCGUGAUAUGGCAUCGAGCAUUUGGCCGUUUAUCCGCAGCGUGAACGGUGUCAAGUAUGUUUCCCUUGCGACUUAACGAUUCACCGCGGUCCGGUCCUCCGGGUGUAUACUGUGAACCGUCACUGUGCACGCGCGAACACGGGAACACCGGGAACUCGGCCCGAACACGUGGUCGGUUUGACAGCUAUUCCCGAUCUCACGUGAGAGCGAGCGCGUUCGUGGCCGCUCGGCAGACUGUGAGAAAUCCCCGGGAGGUAUUUAUCGAUCGGCGUUCUACGCGCGGACAGAAGAAUAUUCGCGCGCGACGAUUGACCGGGCGAAUGCGCUCUGCGCGCGCGAUCGCUCGUCGCGUUCGUCACUGAUUCACACUCUCGUGUCGUUCACGAGCGUGCACGACGGGAACGCGGAGUGAGAAAGUCUGUGGCACCGUGUGUAUGUACCCAGCAGUGAUUCAAGACUUCCUCUCCUCAACUAGACGCGACAUUAUUGAAUCGAGCCCAAUGCGCUGCGACCGAGACGCAGUCCAGCACGUGGGUCGAUCAGCUGAGCGGACCACCACGCUCGGCCUCGCAGCUUUUUAAAUGCCAUUCUAAUCGCUGCCACUUCCGACGACGUCUUCGAUGAUACAAUUUUUCGUUUUUCGUAUUAUUUAUUAUUUAUUAUUAUUAAUUUUAUUAUUAUUAUUUUUUUAUUUUAUUUUAUUUUUUAUUAUUUUAUUAUAUUUAUUAUAUAUUAUUUUUCGCGUAUUAACGCAUACACAGACACCACUGUUUUCAACGCAAACAGCCGAUCAGAAGUUAUAAAGCUAUGCAUACACAUGCAUGCGGCAUCAUAUGUGUAGAAUGUGUGUACAGAAAAUCCAAGAGUUCGGUGAAGCAAAUGUUCGCUCUAACAUCACGCGCAAUAAAAGAUGAUCGAUCGAAAUCGCUGAUCGAUGCUUGAAAUAUUGUCAAUACGUAUGAUAAUAAUGUGGAAUGAAAACAUAUUAUUCAAUUAAUUAAAAUAAUCGGUAUCAACGUCUCGAUGGAAGUUUUAAAUACAUUCUGUGAAAUUAUGAUGCUAAAAAUAUGUAUAUUUCACGUUUAAUCUAUCGAAUUUGUUUCCUGAAAGAUAAACAUUUUGGCAUAUUCGUUAACAUCGAACAUUAAAACAGUUUGACACGUUUGGAAUCAUUGUGUGUCACUUUCUCGAAAUUCCAGAUUGUACAUCAUACUGACAUAGAUUAUACGUCUCGUUUACUAUGACGUCACGUAGAUGAUUUCAUCUUUGCUUCAGGGAAAUGAUCCGAAGCCAUGUCUAUACGACAUGGAUACGUUCUAAGAGUUGCACAUCCGGCAUCGAUUCAAUAGCCAAUUGGAAGCCGAUGCAGUGGUGCCUCAACUCCUGCGCGGUUUUCUUCCUCUCUAAGGUAGCGCUUCUAUCCCCGCCAUUGCCCAUCCAAUCUGCAGCGAAUCGUGUCUCAGCAUUGCAUCGUCAGUCGAUCAGAGCGAAGCAAUUUCUACUCCUAUUCUCAUUAAUGUAGCACGCUGCGGUUGGACAGUCUUGCAGAAACUUAGGCAUCAUUGCAUUUGAUACCUUUCGAUACUGUAUAUAUUUCGGGAGUUAUCAUUUAUUGCUUAGAGUAAUUACAGUACAUUAGAAUGGCAGUACCUAACUGGAUUCCUAGGAUUAUUCGAUUUUCGUGAAGACACUAAAAAUGGAGAACUCCAAUGUGUACAUUAAAUAAAUAUCUUAUCUGGUUUUACUGUGUCA